AUGUGGCCUUCCACUCUGAUACUCUGUGUGUUCCUCAUCUGGCCUGUGGCCUCUGAUGUGGUUUUAACUCAGACUCCCAACAUGGUGUCGGCCCGUCUGGGUGGAGACGUCAGCUUCAAGUGCAGUGCCAAGACUAAAGACUCACCGGUGUGUGACAAAGCAGUCAACACUCCCAUUAAAAUGAAGGCACUGGACACACUGACUGCGGUGCUCCUCAUCAACUUCAUACUCGGCUCCAGUGCUCAGAUCACAGUGACUCAGCCUCAGUCAGUAGUGUCUGGCCAGUCUGGAGAGACGGUGACCAUCAAAUGCCAGACCAGCAGCUCUGUUUACAACUCCUAUUAUAAGGUGGACAUUCUAGACUGGGUUCAACAGAAGCCUGCAGCACCUCCUAGGUGUAUCAUCUAUGAUGGUGUUCAUCGAGUGUCUGGGGUGCCAAACCGCUUCAGUGGCAGUGGAGGGAGGACUGAAUUCACACUGACCAUCAACGGAGUCCAGCCUGAAGAUGCCGGUCAUUACUAUUGUGUACAAUUAUAUGCAGCACCACACACAGUGACAGAGAGCUGAACAAAAACCUCUCCUCCAUACCCAUCUGCAGUGCUGUUGUUGCCAAGACAGGCUGUGUUGUCAUCUGUGAUGAGGAGUUACUGAGGGGUGAACAAGAGACUAACUUAAAAAAACAAAGUUUAUGUUCUUGAUACCUUAAACCAGUGGAAUUGGACACCUAUGAUUCACCUCCUCUCAAACAUCCAUUGAUCAGUUCCUUGAGAAAGUUAAGGAAGCCAUAAUGAUGGUGUGUGUGGAGGGGGGAGAC